rnacentral:lncRNA from 1 species
UUGAUCAUUUGUGCAGUGUCCACACACCACCGCUUUUUCUCCAGCAUUGAAGCGUACCAUAAAUAAUUAGGAAUGGAACGAAGAACUGACUCCCUGGAAUGUCCUGCCUACGCUUCUCCACCUGCCUCGUGCUUCAGCCCGUGGGACGGCAGAGCAGAUCAAAGCAUCGGUCCAUUUUACGGUCGGGACCAGUGAGGCUCAGCGAGCGAGAAUCCCAGCCAAACCUGCAAAUAACGUUCCUGCAUAAACAUGAAAUACAGGUCGCUGUGUUGAGCGGCGUUUUCCCAGCGCCACUUCUUCUGGGAUCCUGAGGACCUGGUGGGCUGUCGGGGGUCCUUCCAGAGGCCCGCAGAGGGCACGGGCUCCCUCCGCCACGUGGUGCGGGCUCGGGAGGGAGGGCGGGCUGAGCGCAGGGCGGGGCCCCAUCAAAGGUGGAACCAGCACCGCAACGUCUCUGUGCGGUACCGUCAGGAAAACCCACGUGAGAGAAAUAAACGUCUGUUUCAAAAUAAACUGCA